rnacentral:lncRNA from 1 species
UAGAGGAUUUUGAUAUUGCAAGUCAAAAAGACCAUCUCGUUGUUCAUUCGAGAUGGUGAAGUCUUGCAAUAAAAUCCUUUUGCUUUGCAUUGUUGCGCUUUUGGUAAGUGCACCGUCUUCAUAUGCUAAUAAUUCAAUCUCAAAUGGUGCUAUGAAUGCAGAUGGAACUCCGUGCAACGGACAGAACAAAGAAAAUUGUAGACCAGGAAAACCAGUAAAUGGCUACAAUAGAGGCUGCAAUCACGAAGAGCAUUGCCGAACUGGAAACCCAUAAAAUUGAAGGCUAAACUACGUUGGUUCCGGGAAGAAUCAUAGUCUUCCUAUUAUGGGAAGGAUUGGGCUGAUACCUUCUACAGUAUUCUAUGUUUAGUGAUAAGUUAAAAGAGGCAGUCAUAGUGGUAAAUACACAUGGCUUUUUCCUCUUUACCAAUUUUGUAAUAAACAAGUGGUUAUUUACUGUUGCAACUUGCCCAUUUCCAAGUUU